rnacentral:rRNA from 1 species
AUUGAACGCUGGCGGCAGGCCUAACACAUGCAAGUCGAACGAGUGGCGGACGGGUGAGUAAUGUCUGGGAAACUGCACGAUGGAGGGGGAUAACUACUGGAAACGGUAGCUAAUACCGCAUAACAUAGGAUGUGCCCAGAUGGGAUUAGCUAGUAGGUGGGGUAAUGGCUAAACUAGGCGGCGAUCCCUAGCUGGUCUGAGAGGAUGACCAGCCACACUGGAACUGAGACACGGUGCAGACUCCUACGGGAGGCAGCAGUGGGGAAUAUUGCACAAUGGGCGCAAGCCUGAUGCAGCCAUGCCGCGUGUAUGAAGAAGGCCUUCGCGUUGUAAAAUACUUUCAGCGGGGAGGCGUUACCCGCAGAAGAAGCACCGGCUAACUCCGUGCCAGCAGCCGCGGUAAUUC